AAAUGCAAAGCCAUACAAAUUUUAGGAAAAAAAUUAAAAUGAAAGUAAAACAAAUCAUUUCAUUAGCAGGUCAUUUAAGACCUUCCAUUUCCUAAAUCUAUUUUCUAAACACAGCCCCCAUUUCACCAAACUUCUUAGCCCUAAAAAUCAAUUUGUUUGGGCAUAUUCCAGCAGCCACCGAGUACACCACUUCAUUAGGUGAUCGAUGGCAUUCCAGUGACGAUCGAUGAUGCCUUUGGACCCUUCCAGCUUCGAUUUUCAGCGAAGAGGGCAGAGAUCCAUGGCUGAUUUGCAAGAUUUGGCCGUACAGAGGAGGCGUGUGAAGGAGGCUGCGCGAGGAGCCACUCGUGGGAGUCCUAAUUUCUGGCCUAUUCUGGCACGUUCCGGAAGCUCCUAGUGCUGCUGAGAUAAUUUUGGAUGUAUUGGGCCUCGGGUUUUAGGGCUUAUUGGGUCAUGGGUUAUUAAAAAUGAGUUUUAAAAUUAUUGGAGUUUAUGUAAUUGGGUUAAGGGUUUUUUUUGGGGUAUUUGUUUAAUUGGAUUAAAAAUGUGUUUGGGCUGUUUUAAUUUAGUUUAUUUUGUAUUUAUUGUUUUUUGAUUUUUUGGUAUAAGCCCGGACAAAAAUUGGGCCUUACAAUGGGUAUAA